rnacentral:lncRNA from 1 species
GUCCACUCCUGUGCUGAGGACAGCUGAAAAAGCAGCAGCAUUUGAGAUACCCAAACUGCCAGGAUGGUGAUUGCAAGACAGUUUUAUGGAUAUCGAGUUGAUCUGGCUUAAAAUACCAGCUGUGAGACACAUGAGGGAAAUUUCCUUGAGACCUGUUUCUAGCCCCCUAGGAAUCCACCCUUUGAUUGACUCAACUUCCUGGCUUGUGUCUAAGAAUUUGGCCUCAACAGCCAGUUCAGAGAACAGUGCUGUAUGAGGUCUUCAUCAAUACAAAACAUAUGGUAGAUCCUGAAGAUCUGCAGCUGACCCAGAAUUCUACAGGAGCGAUUUUUACAUUCAUGUGGGAUAAAGCUUAAAAAUGUAUGCAAGGGAGGUCAAGAUCAUGAUAGAGAAAUCUACAGAGACAGCUGAACCAAGCUUUGGAAACUCAUGAACUCUAGACAUACAACUGUGGAGACUCCAGGAGACUGAACUAGGCCCUUCAUAUGUGAAAGACAGUUGUGAAGCUCGAACUAUAAGAGGGGCCCCUGUCA